CUCGCGACAAAACAAAACGAGGACAGGUAACGAGAAACGCAAAACACACACACAUGACGCAGAGCAGGUCUCUUGACGUGAAGCGGGAAUAGACACUGAAUACAGGAAGUAUGCGGAGAACAAUGAAAACAGACGCGUCGCAGCACAAUCCGAACGGAGAUGAAAGAUCUACCAACCAGUAACAGCGGCAUUACCGUUAAUGGCUGGAGCGAGAACAGACCUGGCUCAUGGCGCCGAAGAUGCCGCUGUCGCCGCCCUUUUCUGACGUUGCCGCGAAACACACCGUCUCCAGUUACGGUUUUCUUGGAGCCAUCGCUUUUGCAGGUGCAAAGCCUUUGUAGAUGUACGAUUUUGCUUGCAACACACAAAGGACUCGAAGGCUCGAUGCAGUACCUGUGCCCUCUGAAUAAAAGGACAAAUGCAACA